GCAUAUCAAUAAGCGGAGGAAAAGAAACUAACUAGGAUUCCCUUAGUAACGGCGAGUGAACCGGGAUGAGCUCAAAUUUAAAAUCUGGCGUCUUUCAGGCGUCCGAGUUGUAAUCUAUAGAGGCGUUUUCCGCGCCGGACCGCGUCCAAGUCUCUUGGAAUAGAGUAUCAAAGAGGGUGACAAUCCCGUACUUGACGCGACAACCGGUGCUCUGUGAUACGUUCUCAAUGAGUCGAGUUGUUUGGGAAUGCAGCUCUAAAUGGGUGGUAAAUUCCAUCUAAGGCUAAAUAUUGGCGAGAGACCGAUAGCGAACAAGUACCGUGAGGGAAAGAUGAAAAGCACUUUGGAAAGAGAGUUAAACAGCACGUGAAAUUGUUAAAAGGGAAACGAUUGAAGUCAGUCGUGUGAAAGGUAUUCAGCCGUCUCUGGCGGUGUAUUUGCCUUUCACGGGUCAACAUCAGUUUGAUCCGGUAGAAAAAGGCGGAAUGAAGGUGGCACCCUCGGGUGUGUUAUAGCUUUCUGUCAUAUGUGCCGGACCAGACUGAGGAACGCAGCUUGCCGCAAGGCCGGGGUUCGCCCACGUACAAGCUUAGGAUGUUGACAUAAUGGCUUUAAACGACCCGUCUUGAAACACGGACC
rnacentral:rRNA from 1 species